rnacentral:lncRNA from 1 species
CCUCUCUGGGCUUUCUCUUCAGAGUGCCUUCCUGGGCUUUCUCUUCAGAGUACCUUCCUGGGCUUUCUCUUCAGAGUACCUUCCUGGGCGAAAGAUAAAUAUUCUCCACAAAACACAAAUGCCAUUAAAGGUUAUGGAAACAGUUAAAUUGGUAAUGUGCUACAUUUAACGUUGUUUUGAAAAUGCCACAAAAGGGUGUCAGAGUUUAUUAAGGGCAUCAGAGUUUAGGAGGUUCAGGGUGUCAGAGUUUAGGUGGUUCAGGGUGUCAGAGUUUAGGUGGUUAAGGGUAUCAGAGUUUAGGUGGUUCAGGGUGUCAGAGUUUAUUAAGGGUGUCAGAGUUUAGGUGGUUCGGGGUAUCAGAGUUUAGGUGGUUCAGGGUGUCAGAGUUUAGGGGGUUAAGGGUGUCAGAGUUUAGGUGGUUCAGGGUGUCAGAGUUUAGGUGGUUCAGGGUGUCAGAGUUUAGGUGGUUCAGGGUGUCAGAGUUUAGGUGGUUCAGGGUAUCAGUGUUUAGGUGGUUAAGGGUGUCAGAGUUUAUUAAGGGCAUCAGAGUUUAGGAGGUUAAGGGUGUCAGAGUUUAUUAAGGGUAUCAGAGUUUAGGUGGUUCAGGGUGUCAGAGUUUAGGAGGUUAA